rnacentral:misc_RNA from 1 species
AUCAAGAUUACGGAAGCAGGUACUUUUGCUGUUUGCACUUUUCCAUUCUUGGGGCGUUCAUUUAUUUCUUCAUCAAUGUAAUUGCUUAGAUGGAUUCAUAUGACCCGCAUUUUCAUUUUACCUUUUCUAUUAUUAUUUGGAGGAAGGUGUGCAUAUUUGUCCUUUGUAGUUGGUUUAAAAAUUCAUUUCUUAUCACCUGUUUUUAUUAGUGUUGAUAAAACCUCAUUGGUGCUCCUGCAAGCAGGCCCCAAACAGGUGAAAAGGGGCUUAAUUCUGUUAAAGCUUAUCUAUCUUAGUUAUGACACUUCACAUGUUAUCCUGAAAAUAAUGGGGCGCGAUAUCAUUGAUCUGAGGAAAGCAUUCAAGAAUUUAGUUUUAGAACUUGUGCCCAUCUAGGUUGGCUUGUACUGUCUUGUGGUUAAAGGUACAAGUGAAAACUUGUUUGGAUUCAGCGUAUUCUACAUUGUCCUAUGUAAGAGGAGGAAAUCUUAAAAUGCUAAAAAUGGGUAGCAGAUCUUUCUCUUUUGCUUUUGGGUCAGGGAGCCAAAGCACCUGAAACUUUGGGGAAGUGUUUGCUUUAGAAGUUUAUAAGAUAUUGACUUGCUUAUAUACUCUUUAAUUGUUAAAUCUGUUUCUUUGUUUUAUCAUCCUUACCAGGCAGAGUGUGAAGAGCUACAA